rnacentral:rRNA from 1 species
CAGCAGCGCGGUAACACGUAGGGUGCGAGCGUUAAUCGGAAUUACUGGGCGUAAAGCGUGCGCAGGCGGUUCGUUAAGACAGUUGUGAAAUCCCCGGGCUUAACCUGGGAACUGCAUUUGUGACUGGCGAGCUAGAGUAUGGCAGAGGGGGGUAGAAUUCCACGUGUAGCAGUGAAAUGCGUAGAGAUGUGGAGGAAUACCGAUGGCGAAGGCAGCCCCCUGGGCCAAUACUGACGCUCAUGCACGAAAGCGUGGGGAGCAAACAGGAUUAGAUACCCCCGUAGUCCCUGUCUCUUAUACA